UUUCCCUACGGGACGCAGCAGUGAGGAAUAUUGGUCAAUGGGCGGAAGCCUGAACCAGCCAAGUCGCGUGAGGGACUAAGGCCCUGCGGGUCGUAAACCUCUUUUGCCGGGGAGCAGUGGUCCGGACGCGUCCGGACCGGGAGAGUACCCGGAGAAAAAGCAUCGGCUAACUCCGUGCCAGCAGCCGCGGUAAUACGGAGGAUGCGAGCGUUAUCCGGAUUUAUUGGGUUUAAAGGGUGCGUAGGCGGAAUAUCAAGUCAGCGGUAAAAAUUCGGGGCUCAACCCCGUCGUGCCGUUGAAACUGA
rnacentral:rRNA from 1 species